rnacentral:rRNA from 1 species
AUGUCCUCCUCCACCGCAGUCACCUCCUCUGGCCUCAACUACAACACAUCAGAACCCCUCAGCCUGACGAACUACGUUCUCUGGCGAGCCCAAGCACGAUCCCAGAUACUGGGCGCUGGCUUGUUCGGCUAUAUUGAUCAAACCAUCGAGGAGCCUCCCAGAACAAUCCUUAGCAAAGAUAAAGAUGGCAAGGAGCAUAGUUCCAACCCUGCCUAUAACUCCUGGUUAGUUCAAGAUCAGCAAAUCGUAGCAUAUCUUCUCUGCAAUCUAUCCAAGGAGGUGCUUGUUCAAGUGGCCUCGCUUGAAUCAUCACAUGCGAUCUAGACUGCGUUGGCAAAUAUGUUUUCUGCAGUUUCUUUGUCUCACGUGAACAACAUCAGAAACCCUCCGAACACCCAGAAGGGGUCCCAAUCAGCCUCCACCUACUUUGGGUAGAUGUGUGCCCUCUUCGACGAGCUUGUGGUGGUGGGAAAACCACUCGGGGAGGGAGAGUUCAUCUCCUUCAUCGUCACUGGGCUUAAUAUGGAGUAUCAGCCAAUCAUCUCUGCACUCGACGUCCGCACCAAGCCUAUCACCGUCGACACGCUCUUAUCGUUGGUAGCAAACUUCGAUCAAUGCGUCGAGAUGUUCCAUGGGAACAGCGCUGGUGGCUUUAAGUCAUCGGCAAACGCUGCCUCUAGGGGUCGCCAGGGCGGUGGCAAAGGCGUCUACCACAACCAGAAGAACGGUGGUUGCGGCGGCGGCUAUUCUGGUGGUGGUGGCCAAAACCCUACCGGCGGCUACCAUGGCAUGGGUAGCGGUGGCUACAACCACGGCGGCAGCGGCUACAACAAUCAAGGCGAUGGCAGUGGUCAAGGCGGCGGCCACCGUGGCGACGGCGGAAACUACAACAACAACUAUGGCGGCGGCGGGGGCUACUACAACAACGGCGGCCCUCCGCACCACUUCUACAACAACAAUUAA